CAGACCUUAGCCCUCUCUCGGUGGAGCACGUUGGUCAGUCUCUGAACUGCUCUAAGAGAGUUGUUUAGAUCCUUUUCUCAAAUCAGAGGUUUGAGAAACUGCAGGUUUCUGAAGCAGCCUCUAUCAGAAACUUUUUCCUUCUAUUUUGAGGUGUGUGCGCUCACGUGUGUGCACGCACGUGCGUGCGCGUGCUUUAAAUAAUUGUCGUUAAUUCAGUGCUAGACAUCUUAACUUUGGUGUGGAAGAUGUCAGCGUGGAGUGUAACUAUUCUUUUCAGCGUUGUCUGCAGCCUGUUGGCUAUUAUCUUCAUACUGUUAUUUUUUGCUUAUCGUCUUAUCUGUAAAGACAAGGAAGUCAUAUCCGCAAAUCGUGGAGAUGUCGAAAGCUGCAUUGAAUCAAGGAAGAACACUAAAGAAAAGAUCAUCCAGGCCAAACCCGUUACUGAUGAGUCUCGUACCCUCCCGCACUGUGAGGAGUGUAGCAUCUAUGUAGAUUCUGGCACCCUGCCACCUUGUUGUUGUGACACCAGCAAAGGACCCUGACAUGGCUGAGGUGGAACCCCAAAUUAUCACAAUCAGUAUUUCUGUGUUAGUAUAAUGUUUUAAUUUUCACAUUAAUUUCUGUUAUGUUUAUACUCUUAUUUACUCUCUAAAUGGUUUUAUGUUCUUUGUAUAAACGCACAAUAAUAAAAAUAGUCUUAUACCUUCA